ACAGAACAACACAUCAAAAAAAAAAAUGUGCAUGAAUUCGACACUACUAGACCAUUUUCCCCUUUUUUUAUGAUUAUUCUCUUUUGACCUCCUUUUCCUCCUCUCCCCCCCUUUCUUUGAUUUUUA
rnacentral:ribozyme from 1 species